AGAGUUUGAUCCUGGCUCAGAAUUGAACGCUGGCGGCAUGCCUUACACAUGCAAGUCGAACGGUAACGGGCCUUCGGGUGCCGACGAGUGGCGAACGGGUGAGUAAUGCAUCGGAACGUACCUUUCAGUGGGGGAUAACGUAGCGAAAGUUACGCUAAUACCGCAUAUUCUGUGAGCAGGAAAGCAGGGGAUCGCAAGACCUUGCGCUGAUUGAGCGGCCGAUGUCAGAUUAGCUAGUUGGUGAGGUAAAGGCUCACCAAAGCGACGAUCUGUAGCGGGUCUGAGAGGAUGAUCCGCCACACUGGAACUGAGACACGGUCCAGACUCCUACGGGAGGCAGCAGUGGGGAAUUUUGGACAAUGGGGGCAACCCUGAUCCAGCCAUGCCGCGUGAGUGAAGAAGGCCUUCGGGUUGUAAAGCUCUUUCGGCCGGGAAGAAAUCGCAUGGGUUAAUACCCUGUGUGGAUGACGGUACCGGAAUAAGAAGCACCGGCUAACUACGUG
rnacentral:rRNA from 1 species